rnacentral:rRNA from 1 species
CCCUUAGAUGUUCUGGACCGCACGCGUGCUACACUGAGUGGAUCAGCGGGUCAGGUUGCGCGAAAGCGUUUCCUAAUCUUUAAAUCCGCUCGUGAUGGGGAUUGACGGUUGCAAUUUUCUGUCAUGAACGAGGAAUACCUUGUAAGCGCGGGUCAUCAUCCCGCGCUGAAUACGUCCCUGCCCUUUGUACACACCGCCCGUCGCACCUACCGAUUGAGUGGUCCGGUGAGGCUUUGGGAUCUGAGCGGAAAGAGCGUUUCGCUGUUUCUGCUCGGAAAACUCAGUCGAACCUUAUCAUUUAGAGGAAGGAGAAGUCGUAACA